UACAGAGGUCCCGAGCGUUGUUCGGAUUCAUUGGGCGUAAAGGGUGCGUAGGCGGUCUGCUAAGUUUGAUGUGAAAUCCCGGGGCUCAACCCUGGAAUGGCAUUGAAUACUGGCGGACUAGAGUACCGGAGAGGAAACUGGAAUUUACGGUGUAGCAGUGAAAUGCGUAGAGAUCGCAAGGAAGACCAGUGGCGAAGGCGAGUUUCUGGACGGUAACUGACGCUGAGGCACGAAGGCCAGGGGAGCAAACGGG
rnacentral:rRNA from 1 species